CAGACACGUCUAAGAUAACCAAUGAGUAAAUAUAACUGAUAAAUCACAUGACAAGACAAACCAAUCAGAACGUGACACAAUGAACAAGAGGAACCAAUAGCAAGACGACAAGAGGCUCCGCCUUUCCCGUUCUACAACAAAAUGCAAAAAAGUAUCCCAGCAUCUCCUGCCACUUCUAGCUCUCCCUCAACUGAGUCUGAAACAUCAGUUCCUACAAAAGCUCCUGCCACUACAAGCUCUCCUCCAACUGAGUCGCAAACAUCAU